rnacentral:rRNA from 1 species
CCUACGGGAGGCAGCAGUGAGGAAUAUUGGUCAAUGGACGAGAGUCUGAACCAGCCAAGUAGCGUGAAGGAUGACUGCCCUAUGGGUUGUAAACUUCUUUUAUAUGGGAAUAAAAUGUUCCACGUGUGGGAUUUUGUAUGUACCAUAUGAAUAAGGAUCGGCUAACUCCGUGCCAGCAGCCGCGGUAAUACGGAGGAUCCGAGCGUUCUCCGGAUUUAUUGGGUUUAAAGGGAGCGUAGGUUGAUUGUUAAGUCAGUUGUGAAAGUUUGCGGCUCAACCGUAAAAUUGCAGUUGAAACUGGCAGUCGUGAGUACAGUAGAGGUGGGCGGAAUUCGUGGUGUAGCGGUGAAAUGCUUAGAUAUCACGAAGAACUCCGAUUGCGAAGGCAGCUCACUGGACUGCAACUGACACUGAGGCUCGAAAGUGUGGGUAUCAAACAGGAUUAGAUACCCCAGUAGUC